GGGGUGAUAGCUCAGUUGGGAGUAGCGUACGACUGAAGAUCAGUCAGUUCAGGCUAUAUUAUCUUGUACAGCCUUGUUAUCGUAAGGUCGCCGGUUCACCGGCUCACCCCA
rnacentral:tRNA from 1 species